rnacentral:lncRNA from 1 species
CAAGCCAUUCUGCUAGCAAAAGGUCCUUUUCUGCCACAAAUUAUAUAUACCACAGUACUUGUAGGAAGAGAGACGGCAGGCCGACCAGCCUUUGCUUGUGUAACCUGAAUCAUUCAGUAAUUGUACCAAAAUUUGAGAUAUUAUUAUAUUGUUUAGGAAUAAAAAGAAAGCAGGAAGAAAGGGAAAAAAAAAAAACUUCUCUUUUGAACCUGUAACUUCGUAAUACAUCAUGUGCAUGAGAGGUGAUGAGAUGGUUAGAGAGAUAUUUCAGAAUGGAAAAAUGGAAAAACAAAGCGAUUUCGUUGAUUUAAUUUUGCACAACAAAGUUGGAGAAUAUGUACGGACUGGGAAGGUGUUGCAGGCUGCAGGAGAGAAAUUUUAGAGAAAGAUUCGGGGCAGAAGGGGGAUCAAGAUAAAGCAGAAGAAAGAAAAACCAGGCAGACUUGAACAUUCAACAGAAGAAGAAAAAGACAAAAUUCACAGG